GGGGAGGGCCAAUAGCUCAGUCGAAGAGCACCUGCUUUGCUUGCAGAAGGUACCAGGUUCAAUCCCUGGCCUCUCCA